rnacentral:rRNA from 1 species
UACGGAGGGUGCGAGCGUUAUCCGGAAUCACUGGGUUUAAAGGGUGCGUAGGCGGCCCGUUAAGUCAGGGGUGAAAUACCGCCGCUCAACGGCGGAACUGCCCUUGAUACUGGCGGGCUCGAAUGGGCGCGAGGCAGGCGGAACGCGGCAUGUAGCGGUGAAAUGCUUAGAUAUGCCGCAGAACACCGAUUGCGAAGGCAGCCUGCCAGAGCCAAAUUGACGCUGAGGCACGAAAGCGUGGGGAGCGAACAGGAUUAGAUACCCUGGUAGUCCACGCCCUAAACGAUGCUUACUCGACGUCCCCCCCUGGUGGGGGUGCGUCCAAGCGAAAGCGCUAAGUAAGCCACCUGGGGAGUACGCCGGCAACGGUGAA